rnacentral:siRNA from 1 species
UGCACUAGUUGAGAAGGUGGA